GUGGUCCGGUGAACGGCUUCCGGUGUGGCUGCGCCGCAGCCCCGUACCCGGAAGCCCGACCCUGACCUAGAGUAACCCCAGGCGGCCCCCGGGCGCGCGUGUGCAGUACCAGGUGUGAGCACUCUGGCAGCCGUUUGGUGAUCAUGUAUGAUACUGCGAACAGGC